AGUAGCCCCACGUCCCUGUCCUUUCCUGCCUCUACACCCUUAGCUGGGGCUGGUCGCUCCACUUCUCCCCACACACUUUGGACAAGACUUCCUUUCUCUUUUUGUUAGUUACCGGUAUUUUUUCCCCUCACGUGACUCACGGGGCGGGUCUCCGUCUGGGGCGGAGGUUACUGGGAAGCUGCCGCCCUUCGACCCCUGCGGGCCCUGGGUUGCAGGGAUCCUCCCGAGGCCCUUUUGCUGUCCUAGAGGCUGAGCGCCCGCUUUGGGGCCUCUUCCCAAAUACUCUCUGCGGAGAGGACAUUGCUUUCCCGGGUUUCAACAGGUACUGAGCGGGUCCGUGGCGAUCCCCCCAGGGGUCAACGGGGCUGUGGGCCUCAGAGGCCGCCCCGAGAAGACCCCGGGGCUGCUGGCGAUGUCCGGGCUGCGAGCAUUUUGAGGGAGUCCGCUCGGCUGUCCAGGAGCCCCGGGCUAUGGGCAUGAGCUGGGAGUGAGCUGUCUGAACGGGAGGAUGUACUUCCUGGUUUGUUGGGCGGCCCUCGGAAACCCCCAAGUCCGAUUAUUAAAAGUUUUCUUUACUCAAUAAAGCCGCCUCUCACAGUUGAGAAAGGAAAGAAGCACAGGGUUUGGAGACUAAUGUCCUGAGACGAGUCUCAGGUCUGUCACUUGCUGGACUUGUGAUCUUUUGUAACCCGUUUUCCGCAGCCUCGGUUUCUAGAUCUGAAAAAUGGGGCUACUAGUCUUUGGCCUGCCUGCCUUCCAGUGUUGUGGGCGUCAGCGGAUAAUAUGUGAUACGUGGGAGAAAGCAUGUAUCAGAUAUAACUUUAUCCUCCUGUCUCCAGUCUAGGUCAGUUGAAUUUUAAAACCACGUUCAUGUCUUUGAAACUCGAUUAUAAACAUGACCAUGCUCUUUGUGAAAAGCAAAUGAUUUAAUAAAUAAGGGGAAGUGACUUUGGAAACGAAUACAAGCCGUGCAAACGUUAAGCCAUGUACCUCUUGAAGAGGUGACUUGAAGGCCCUGUCACCUGUGGAGUCCGUUUUAAACUUCAUGUGCAAAUUAAGGUCUCCCAGAGUUAGGACACUUCCCUACCCCCAACACACUCGCCUGUCAACCCAUUUUGCUCAGUUAUAACCUUCCAUCACCACAAAAGUACAAGGAUCUCAGCACUUUCUGUUCAUCAGUUGUGCUAAACUGAUGCCUGUCUCCAGCAGGUCUUGUAUUUUUUUUUUUUACCCCCUUUAAGAUACUUCUGGUGCUAAGUCUAGCUCUAAUUCUAACACAGUUCCACUGACCUUGUGUGCACAGUAGCUGAAAUACUGGGGUCAUCUUCAUCUGUCCUAGACUUCCCACUUAUAGAAGUGGAAAGAAAUGGAACUAGGCUAUUGGUAGCUUGAAAGAGAACCCUACUUCUAUGCCACCCAUCAGAAAAUGUGCUCUUAGCUAGUGGAGAAAACAUUUAGAGUUCCUUGUUGAUGAGCCCAGCAGGAUGGAUGAAGUCUGGGUGAGACUGCUGUUUAUCAGAAGGAAACUUUUGUACCAUUUGCCUUCAGAUAAAAUCUGUCUGCAUGUUCUAGAGUUUUAUUAUUCAAAAAAUAAAUGUCAUUUAUUUGAUUGAGGUGGUGCCAUGCAGCAAGCAGCAGAGAGAUGCAGAGUUCGAGCCAGAAGGCCUGACAUGGCACUUUAUAUACCGAAAGCUCGAAGGGGUAUAGUGCUGCUUAAGUCAGGUGAUGAAGAAAAAAGCUGUGGUCCACCUAACUCUGUGGUGAAAGAAGAACAAAAAGAAGAUGGUCUCUUCCAAAAGGAGAUCUUUAGAGGCAAAUCUGAGACUCAGACACUAAGCAUUAAUCCUGAUGAUAAGGAACACAACCAUAGGGAAGGAAAGAAGUUUUCAACAAAAUUAAGAAAAGACACAUGCCUUCAAGAAAGAAAGAAAGAUAGGGUUUGUGUUAGGAGGGGAACCACAGAAUCUAAAGAAGCAUUAUCCCAAGGACAUCAGCAAAGUGUCCCAAAUCCUGGGAUGCUACCUAGUGCACCUUUACAAAGACACGUUGAACCAAAGAAGGUGGAGUGUUUGGAGGUCGAAACCACAAAUGUGAUAGGACCUGGGAAGUUGCUUCUAUCUCAGUCUUGUUCAGAAGUGGGUGAGGCCCAGGUUCUAAACAAACCAUUCCAAAAUAUGGAAUUCUGUGAUUUCAGUAGGCACAAACUAAGUGGCAAAACGUUCAAAGGCAGAGAUUUGGAAAACAGAAUUGAAACUGAUGUCAAGGUGGUGGAGAUACUAUCCCAGUUUCCUGGAGUUUUUAAUUCUGUAUUGAAACCUGAGAGUAAGACUGUGGCAGUAAAACUAAGUUCUGAUUCUGAAACUGUACCAGAAAGUAUGCAAACAUCGUGUGGAAUGUUGACUCUCGGCAAUGGAGGCAUCACUGCCAUUUCUGUUCCUGGAAGUGCGGAUGGUGUCACUGAUCAAACUUGUGUAGACUUUGAAGCUGAGAAUGUUGGUGAUACAGCCAACAGUACAGAUAUCAUCUUGGCUCAGAGAGGUAUAGAUUCCAUUCCUGAGACUUUGGGUCACAUCUCUCAUAAAAUGACCAUAGUUAGCAAAUUAGAGAGUAUAAAUGGCAUUUUUGAUCCAACACUGAUUAGAGAGUAUGAGAAGAAUGACAGUACUGCUGAUGACUUGUGUAUAAGGUAUGAACCUUCUGAUACAGCUCUCCUUGCUCAUGAAACAGAUCUAGAUAAUGGGCCGAAGAGUGUAGGUGACAUUACCCAUAAGGCAUGUAAGAUGGACAUUACAGAUGUCCUGUCUGAUCAGAUAACUGUGGGCAGCCCUUGUGUAGCUGCAGUUAGAACAGCUGGUGAGGCCUGUAGCAACACAAAUAGUUUCUCAAAAUAUUUAGAAAUGAGUGCAGAUACAGCCCCUCUUCAUGUAGCUGGGAGUGGGAACGACAUAGAAAAUUUCAGCAGCCUGACUGCUUGCUCAGAUAUUUAUGCUGAGAGUAUUUCAUCUAGUUUCACAGAGUCAACAGGAAAGUUGAUAGAGAGCUUGUCAGAUUGUGCUUCCUCCUUACCUAUAAAGAAGAUUGCUGGUAGUAAUUGUAGCACUUUUUUGGACUGUGAACUCAGUAUGUUAAAUGGGACAAAAGUACUUUCAGACAGUGCCUUGGGCAUUGAUGUAGAUUGUACGGGUGAUAUAACAAAGGCAUUGCAUGAACUAAAAACUGCCGAAGAGUUCGAAACAAAAGAGGAAGAUAACUCAGAGAAUAUAGAGUUUGGUGUAUCCUUUCCUGAUACGGAAUCUGUAUCUAUGGAAACAUCUAUGGAACCGAAAGCAACGGAAACAUCUCAUGUGGAGGGAAGUACUGAGGACAGCUGGGAGUCUCUGUUUAAUGAUGAUGGUGACUGCUUGGAUCCACGUCUUCUACAAGAGUUAUCAGGGAAUUUGAAGAAUAGAGAAAGCAUCCAGGAACCUAGAUUUGAUUAUUACAACCAUGAAGUUUCUGAUAUUGACCUCAGUGAUUGUGAAUUUCCACAUGUCAUAGAAAUUUAUGACUUCCCCCAAGAAUUUCGUACUGAAGACCUCCUGCGGGUUUUCUGCAGUUAUCAAAAGAAAGGAUUUGAUAUUAAAUGGGUGGAUGAUACACACGCCCUAGGAGUAUUCUCCAGUCCAAUUACAGCUCGUGAUGCUCUGGGUAGUAAACAUACCAUGGUGAAAAUCAGGCCAUUGUCACAGGCCACAAGAGCAGCCAAGGCCAAAGCUAGAGCUUAUGCCGAGUUCCUCCAGCCAGCAAAGGAGCGUCCUGAGACUUCAGCAGCCCUAGCCAGAAGGUUAGUCAUCAGUGCCCUUGGGGUUCGAAGUAAACAGAGCAAAACAGAAAGGGAAGCAGAGCUCAAGAAACUGCAGGAGGCCCGAGAGAGAAAGCGACUGGAAGCCAAGCAACGGGAAGAUGUCUGGGAAGGCAGAGACCAGUCUGCAGUUUGAACAUCACUUAAGGAAAUGGAUAGUUCCAUGAAUUCAGAAAUUAAUUCCAUAGUCUUCGGAUAGGAGGAUCCUCCUAGAGUUCUGUGUACAUGCAGAAGUGCAUGUUCAUGAAAGAACGAGAUAAAGCCAUUGAGGCGAGCACUGACUGGGUCUAGAAAGAAGGUGGACUCCUGUCCGUCUUUGCUUCUAAUUGCAGUCAUUUGGAAUUGCCAUACUGUGUUGGGCAUAGAAAGGAGCCAUCAGCUAGGAAGCUGACUUGUGGCAAUUUGGAUAUGACUUCCAAGAGUCCUCUGGGCGUGGCAAGCCCCACUGUUACCAUGGCUCAUGUGUCUAAGAUGUCUGAAGCAGAUACAAAACAGAGGAUUCAAACCUGCCAUGAUGGGCCAUUCUGGCCCUAAAAAGAGCCAAGGCAGGAGCAGGCGCUAACCUGUGGCAUUGGUGCCAAAUCCAGCUGUGGCGGCCUGUCUUGGGACGGAAGUCAGCCCGGCCCAGGUUGUAGAUCUGUGAGGAAAAGCGCAAGAGGCGCCGGUGCCCGUAGGGCCAGUCCAUGAGGUCGGCAGACUGGGACAGGCAGUUCUCUUCGUGGGCACAGUACAGCUGGCUGAGCGGGCGGUCCUCCAAGUAAGCCGUCUCCUGCACCAACUGGGCAUUCAUCACAAGGUCCGGAGCACCUGGGGCCACAGGAGGCACAACGCCGUGCAAAAGGUAGGAAGGCGGCCAGUUUGCUCUUGGGCAUAGGGAGACAGGCAUGCCCCCAAACCAAGCUCUUGGAGGAGCUCCCAGAAAAGUGGAGCUCUACCCAGAAGAGUAGGGAGGUUUAAGAGUUAAGACUGGGGAGUUCUAGCAAUAGAGGAACGAUCUAUUGCCUUGGCCUGGGAAGCAGGUACAGUGUCACUGUUAAGCAUGAUGGCUUUGGAGCCAGGCUGCCUGGGUUCAAAUCCUGCUUAAUUUCUGACUGCACCAUUAAGUAGCUCUGUGACUUGCUUCACCUUUUGUCUCUCAUCUUCCUCAUCCAUGAGAGAGGGAUAAUAAUAACGCCAAUCGUGCCAAUACCUGGAACGUGCUUAGGUCAUUGUCGGGUAAGCACGCAGUGGAUGUAAGCUAGUCUUUCUUUUGUCAGGUGCUUCUCAGCUCCCGGGGGCCUUUGUGUAGCCUGGCUCACAGUCCCUCCUCAGCCCCGCUGCCUCCAGCUUGGUGUCCUCAGCUCAGUCACUCCCUCUGGGUCUCAGUUCCUUCAAGGAACUGGCAGGAAGGGUCAGAAAGGUUCAUCUCUGGGCCUGCUCCUGAGCUCUGCCAUUCUGGUCCAUUCCGCUGAAGUUCUAGGCCUGUGCCUCCUCCAGAGCUCCUGUUCUAACAGGAUUGCUAUCCUGGGUAUUCAUACCAGGCCAUCCCGUGCUCUCUCCUCGGAGGCAUCGUGGACAUUUCUGGUGCUCCUCUGUGCAUAAAAGUCCCCGUUGCUCGAAAGGCUGCUCAGUGCCUCUCCUGUUCCCUUCCUGUCACAGGGGCUCUUACCCACCCCACCCCCCGCCCUUGGAAAA